ACUGUGUGGUGGGACUGCUGCCCGGCCUACGCGGGGGCCAGGAGGACGUGGACCGUGUCUCGGGAGACACCAGGCAGGAUGCGCUGCGGACACGCGCCCUGGCGCUUUGUCGUGCCCAUGCAUGUCGUGCGCAACGACCUGUUGCCCGGAGUCAGUUGGUACCAUAGUCUCGGUGGAGGACCAGGCUUGGGGCCUGAUAGGGGCGGGCGCUGGGAUCUCGCUAAAGAACAGCAAAGGACACCUGUCUCUGGCAGGAAUAUUGGCUUCAGGGAAGGCUAAAACUUGGAGACAGGGACGCAGACCAUUGGAAUCUAAAAGCCUCUCAGAUGUCAGACCCAAAGUAGGCAGGAUCAGCCAUCAGGAGUAAAAAGGAAGGCCACCAGGGUUAAGGGAGAGGCACCAAGAGCUACUGACACUACUGAGCAAGAGGGAUCCGUGAGUGUCUGUUUGCGGUGCUUGGUCUGAGGGUAGAGCCGUGCCAAGAGCCAGGCUAUGGUGACAAGAGGGUGAACUCUUCAGCAAACUCCUGGCCCUAAUGACCCGAGGCCCUCAUGCUGGCCUAUAGAUGCAUGGGGGACAGACAGCUCAAGAUGCCCUAACACCAUCCUCUGUAUCCAUCCUCUCCCACCCCUUGAUCCUCUCUCUGUUAUUAGGUUGAGGACAAAAUAGCAGGCUGGAGAGUUCUGUGGGAAAUAAGGUGGCUAGAUAGCAGCUCUUAAAAUGGAAGGAAGGUACUGUAGCAAACAACAAAGAUUAUUAGCAUUGAAUUUACUUUAGGACCAAGGUGGAUGCAUUGUGCACACUUCCUUGUGGCUCUCCAUAUGCCCAAUAUGCAGAUAAGGAAACUUGCAGUGUCCCCUUGAAAUAGAAAGAUGGAGAUUACUGCUCCCACACCCAGAGCUGUUAACAAUCUGGGAAUGUGGAAACCAGAACCACCUCCCUCCCAGCCUGGGUGUGAGCCACAGAUGUCUGACCUGUGGGGCAGGAUUAAGAAUAACAGGUGCUCUGAUGGCGCCCUGAAAAAAACAAAAGAGGAACCUCAUGCGGUCAUAAACAGUCCUGUAUAGACACUGAAAGAACUCCUUAGUAUUGGUUGAAGUGCCUCUCUGACCAAGCCCACAAUCACUCCAGGGCCAGGGCUGUCCAGAGCUGUAAAGGAGAAGGGUGUCCAUCUUUCUGGAGCAUUGAGGCCCAUGCUCAAUGCUGAGCUUUGGGCCCCUGAGCUUAGCAUGCGGGCCCAGCAUUUUGAAGGGUGCACCUUUGCUUUGGCAGGCUGGUGAGUUGCCUCUAAGUGCUAAGGCAAGCCUGACCUCCCCAGCCUGCUCCCUCCUCCUACUGGGAUGGGAUGCUGUGGUGUGUUGAAGUGGAGCACAAGAAUAGCCUCCUAGCCUUGGAAAUUUUUAAUCUCAACUGGGGACACUAGCUCCCACCAGCUGCAUCCAAGACAAAGCACUUUCCUGUGCCAGAAGUGCUCUCCCUCUCCAAGAGCAUGUGAACGCUGGGAGGAGUGGGUAGUGGUGACCUGAUAGGUAAAAGUCAGCUCUAGAGAAGUCCCAGGGGCAGGACAGCAAGCCUGCUGCUCAAGGAGGCUGCAGAAUGAGCUGGCUUCCCAGGGGAGAUCUGGAAGCCUCUGCUCAGAACAGGAAGUGGCUUGCAAGUACAAAGGGCAAGUUUGUCCCCUUUAGACCAGAGGGGUCUCUCCACCCAUGGCCUUCAGAUGGGGCAGGGGCACCAGCAGUGCCUGUGUGCAUCUGUGUCCCAAAGUUCCCAAGAUCUGGGGAAAGGAGGCAUCAGGCUGGCCAACCAAGACCACCUUCCUCAUCAAAGGUCACUGUGACAUGCCAGGCCCAUCCAGAGAAAGCUAGUGCCUUGUAUAGACAGAGCCCAGACUUUCCCAAUUGGAAACUGUGGAGUCCAAGGUGGUAAGAAGGAAGACACCUCCAUCUUGCCACUGCAUUGGCCCAAGUCCUCAGUGCCAUCUUCCCUCACAAAUGGUAAAUUCAGCAUGACCCAGGAGAAAGGACAUAGAGCCUCCCCGAGUUUGGGUAGAUGACCAGGGAUAACAGGUCUUUGAUCUGCCUGGCCUUUCCCUAACUGGCCUUCCUACCUCUGUUUCUCUGACUAGGAAUGAGGCUCUAGCACCCAUUUCUGGGACAUUUGGAGAAUUGACCAAAGAGCUUUGGGUCCAGUAUGAGAAAGGGCCGCUUUACCACCACCACCACCACCACCACCACCACCACCACCACCACACACACACACACACACACACACACACACACACACACACACAAACACAGUGAUGAGAAACUACUAGAAGGCUGCUCUUAGGUCUUUUCCCACUUACUCAGUCCUGGCUUCCUUUCUCUGGGACCAGGAUCAGCAGUUUUACAGUAGACAGUACCCUUAUACUUUCCUGUCCAGGUAUGGCAACAUUUCCCAGGCUUCUUAGGACCAGGGCGUGUGCCACACAGCCAGAGUAGAAAUGUUGGUGAGGCCUACUCCCCCCUCCCCCUCCCCCUCUGAUUACCUGACCUUGACCCUGCUUCCUCUCCUUGCACCUUUGGCCACUUCGGUCAUUGUAGUAGACACCCAGAGCCAUCAGGCCACAACCCUAGCAUCCUUGUUUGCUUAUGUCCUUGUCCACUUGUCAGAAUCCUGCAGUCACACCUGACUCUCCUCACAACCUCAGUAGGUGGCUCCUCCAGGAGAGGUCUGGAUCUGUAGGAUGGCAGGCUCAGCAUGGAAAGUCACAGUGAGCUCAGUCCUCCAGAAGCCUCUACUACCUGCACACACAGGCCCGUUGUGUGCCUACAGCAGGGAAGACUAUAUAGAGGUUCCGUUUGAGUCCCUCCCUGAGAGCCAUUCUGGAGUCUUGUAUGGCUAUGACGGGUAGGCUCUCUAAGCCUCAGUUUCCCUAACUAUAAAACAAGAAUGACAACCCCUAGCUUUCGUAGGGGUUUAGUGACACACUGAUGGGUGUAUGACAAACCCUAGGUAGUGGCAGCGCCUGGGUAACAGAAGGAUUAUGUACAGCACUCCUAGGAAGCACUGCAAAGCCCUGGCCACGCCCAUGAUGAAAUGGAGCCCAUAGGGGCAGGCUUACCCAGCCACAACCGGUCAGAAUCUGGGGUGGAGCUGAGGCUGCCAGGCUGGCCAGUCACAAGCACCAGGCCUGGUCUCCAAGCACUUGGAGGCCUUCCAGAAAGUUUGACAUACAAGAAAACACUGUGUUCAGAAU
rnacentral:lncRNA from 1 species